GAUGAACGCUGGCGGCGUGCCUAAUACAUGCAAGUCGAGCGAACAGACGAGGAGCUUGCUCCUCUGACGUUAGCGGCGGACGGGUGAGUAACACGUGGAUAACCUACCUAUAAGACUGGGAUAACUUCGGGAAACCGGAGCUAAUACCGGAUAAUAUCUUGAACCGCAUGGUUCAAUAGUGAAAGACGGUUUUGCUGUCACUUAUAGAUGGAUCCGCGCCGCAUUAGCUAGUUGGUAAGGUAACGGCUUACCAAGGCAACGAUGCGUAGCCGACGUGCGAGGCUGAUCGGCCACACUGGAACGGAGACGCGGUCAAGGCUCCUGAGGGAGGCAGCAGUAGGGUAUCUGCGGCAAUGGGCGAAAGCCUGGCGGAGCAACGCCGCGUGAGAGAUGAAGGUCUUCGGAUCGUAAAACUCUGUUAUUAGGGAAGAACAAAUGUGGAAGUAACUAUGCACGGCUUGACGGUACCUAAUCAGAAAGCCACGGCUAACUACGUG
rnacentral:rRNA from 1 species